rnacentral:lncRNA from 1 species
GAGACCUGAGAAUGGGAAGACCCUGAAGGCUGGGCAUGCUGUGUUCAGAACCAUCAGAAACGCCAUGGGGCUCAGAAACACCAUCGUAAAGAAGCUUAAGAAACUGGACCUACAGCGGAUUUAGGAAAGGUGUUCUGGAAGCCAGCAACUCUCUGUACCAUUCCUUCUGGGAACCAAUGUAGCAGAGCCAAUGGCCGUGCUUAGGCCUCCCAGAUGCCUUUGGGGGCAGAGCCUUGGGUCCCAUGGGCACAGGUGCAGUGGGAAACCUCUGAAAGCAGUGUGGGAAUCCACCAAGUGAGAGCCCCUCCCUGAUUCCAGGUGGCUUUUUCCCCCAAGGCAUUAUGUGUUAGACCGUCUUAGCCCUGAGUCAUCCUUCCAUCUCUUUAAGAUAAAAACAGAAGCUCUGAAGUUUGAUGGAGUCAAUAUAGGGGUGUUUCAGCAAAGCAGUGUUGGAGGUACCCCUGGGGAGGUGAAAUGAAGUUGCUUGGUACACGUUAGGGGCUCAGCAAUUACCUGUUGAAUAAAUGAAAGAAUGAAUUGUC